rnacentral:rRNA from 1 species
AUUGAACGCUGGCGGCAGGCCUAACACAUGCAAGUCGAGCGAGCGGCGGACGGGUGAGUAAUGUCUGGGAAUCUGCCCGAUGGAGGGGGAUAACUACUGGAAACGGUAGCUAAUACCGCAUACUAUCGGAUGAACCCAUAUGGGAUUAGCUAGUAGGUGGGGUAACGGCUCACCUAGGCGACGAUCUCUAGCUGGUCUGAGAGGAUGAUCAGCCACACUGGGAGUGAGACACGGCCCAGCCUCCUCCGGGAGGCAGCAGUGGUGAAUAUUGCACAAUGGGCGCAAGCCGGAUGCAGCCAUGCCGCUGGUAUGAAGAAGGCCUUCGGGUUGUAAAGUACUUUCAGCGGGGAGGCGUUACCCGCAGAAGAAGCACCGGCUAACUCCGUGCCAGCAGCCGCGGUAAUAG